CAGAGUUCAAAGAUACACUGUUUACAUGCAUGGACACAUACAUGAGAGCCGGAGAGUCCUUGAGACCAGAUGACUUCGCUGCCUACAACGUGAACAGCACGACCAUAAUACCGAGAUUCAGGGAAUGCUCAUACGACCUCAUCCCCACCGAAGAAAAAUACUUCCUUGCAUUUCUGAAGUACAUGCGCGAUUUUAUGUCGGGAUAAGGAAAAAAAAAGAUAAAGUGAAUACGCUCUCACGAGGGAAUAAAACGAAGAGUUACCAA